AGAGUUUCAUUCUGGCUCAGGGCUAACGCUGGCGGCGUGUCUUAGACAUGCAAGUCGAACGGACUUUUUCUUUGUAGCAAUACUUGGAAAAAGUUAGUGGCGAACGGGUGAGUAAUACUGGGGUAAUCUACCUCGGAGCGGGGCACAACUCAGAGAAAUCUGGGCUAAUUCCCCGUACGCUCUUUUGCACAUAAGUGCGAAAGAGGAAAGGUGGCCUCUACUUGUAAGCUAUCGCUCCGGGAUGAGCUCCUGCCCUAUCAGCUUGUUGGUGAGGUAACUGCCCACCAAGGCUUUGACGGGUAGCCGGCCUGAGAGGGCGAUCGGCCACACGGGCACUGCGACACGGGCCCGACUCCUACGGGAGGCAGCAGUCUAGAAAAUUGGGCAAUGGGCGAAAGCCUGACCCAGCGACGCCGCGUGCGGGAUGAAGUCUUUCGGGAUGUAAACCGCUGUCAGGGUGGACGAUGACAUUCGUGGCUAAUAUCCACGAGUGUUGACGGUACUCCCAAAGGAAGCACCGGCUAACUACGUGCCAGCAGCCGCGGUGAUACGUAGGGUGCAAGCGUUGCUCGGAUUCACUGGGCGUAAAGGGUGCGUAGGCGGAUUGGUAAGUCGAUUGUGAAAUCUCUAGGCUUAACCUGGAAACUGCGGUCGAUACUGCCGGUCUGGAGGACAGAAGAGGAGAGCGGAACUCCUGGUGUAGCGGUAAAAUGCGUGGAUAUCAGGAGGAACGCCUAAGGCGAAAGUAGCUCUCUGGUAUGUUCCUGACGCUGAAGCACGAAAGCUAAGGUAGCAAACCGGAUUAGAUACCCGGGUAGUC
rnacentral:rRNA from 1 species